AGGUCUGUGAGGAGGGGAGGUCUGUUGAAGGACUGUGAGGAGGGGAGGUCUGUUGAAGGACUGUGAGGAGGGGAGGUCUGUUGAAGGACUGUGAGGAGGGGAGGACUGUUGAAGGACUGUGAGGAGGGGAGGUCUGUUGAAGGACUGUGAGGAGUGGAGGACUGUUGAAGGACUGUGAGGAGGGGAGGUCUGUUGAAGGACUGUGAGGAGGGGAGGAGGGGAGGUCUGUUGAAGGACUGUGAGGAGGGGAGGUCUGUUGAAGGACUGUGAGGAGUGGAGGACUGUUGAAGGACUGUGAGGAGUGGAGGUCUGUGAGGAGGGGAGGUCUGUUGAAGGACUGUGAGGAGUGGAGGACUGUUGAAGGACUGUGAGGAGGGGAGGUCUGUUGAAGGACUGUGAGGAGGGGAGGUCUGUGAGGAGGGGAGGUCUGUUGAAGGACUGUGAGGAGGGGAGGACUGUUGAAGGGCUGUGAGGAGGGGAGGUCUGUUGAAGGACUGUGAGGAGGGGAGGUCU
rnacentral:lncRNA from 1 species